rnacentral:misc_RNA from 1 species
UCUCCGCUUGCGCGGGCAGUCUUUUUAGAGUCCCCACCAUUAUGUGCUGGCAACUAAAAAUAAGGGUUGCGCUCGUUGCGGGACUUAACCCAACACCUCACGGCACGAGCUGACGACAGCCAUGCAGCACCUAGUUUCGUGUCCUUGCGGAAAGAAUCCUUUCAGAUCCGGUCACUAACUUUCAAGCCCUGGUAAGGUUCCUCGCGUAUCAUCGAAUUAAACCACAUGCUCCUCCGCUUGUGCGGGCCCCCGUCAAUUCCUUUGAGUUUCACCGUUGCCGGCGUACUCCCCAGGUGGAUUACUUAUCGCUUUCGCUAAGCCACUAAAAGUUGCCCUCUAGCAGCGAGUAAUCAUCGUUUACAGUGCGGACUAC